rfam:Lactobacillus similis DSM 23365 = JCM 2765 strain DSM 23365 NODE_62, whole genome shotgun sequence.
CGUUCGGGAGCGGAUGUCGAGAAAUCGUCAGCCACUGUCGAAUUUGCACUUCAUUAACGCAGUUCCUCGCCGUGUUGACACCGAGGGGUUGCGUUUUUUU